UCAUGCUGCUUUGCUUCUUUCUCAGAAAUACCCUAAAGGCACCAGAUCCCCUCGAACUUAAAAUCUAAGCAAAGUCAGCCUAGUUAAUACUUUAAUGUGAGAACAUCAAUGGAUAUUAGGUGCUGCAAGUU
rnacentral:rRNA from 11 species